CUGAGAGCUCUCUGAAAGCAGGGUCGGCUGAGGUCACUGUUGUAUCCCCAGCUGCUAGAACAGUGCCAGGCUCAUAGAAAACUCUGGCGCUUCUAAAGGGAACUCCACCCAAGCCCAGCUCCAGCAGGAAAUACCAAAAACUGCCCCUCUGUAGUUUGGGUCAUGGCACUCUUGCAUGAAGGAAAGGAGUAACAACUAAACCGGAGAUUUUUACUUCAGUGAUGGUUGAAG